CAGUCGAGCGGACAGAUGGGAGCUUGCUCCCUGAUGUUAGCGGCGGACGGGUGAGUAACACGUGGGUAACCUGCCUGUAAGACUGGGAUAACUCCGGGAAACCGGGGCUAAUACCGGAUGGUUGUCUGAACCGCAUGGUUCAGACAUAAAAGGUGGCUUCGGCUACCACUUACAGAUGGACCCGCGGCGCAUUAGCUAGUUGGUGAGGUAACGGCUCACCAAGGCGACGAUGCGUAGCCGACCUGAGAGGGUGAUCGGCCACACUGGGACUGAGACACGGCCCAGACUCCUACGGGAGGCAGCAGUAGGGAAUCUUCCGCAAUGGACGAAAGUCUGACGGAGCAACGCCGCGUGAGUGAUGAAGGUUUUCGGAUCGUAAAGCUCUGUUGUUAGGGAAGAACAAGUGCCGUUCAAAUAGGGCGGCACCUUGACGGUACCUAACCAGAAAGCCACGGCUAACUACGUGCCAGCAGCCGCGGUAAUACGUAGGUGGCAAGCGUUGUCCGGAAUUAUUGGGCGUAAAGGGCUCGCAGGCGGUUUCUUAAGUCUGAUGUGAAAGCCCCCGGCUCAACCGGGGAGGGUCAUUGGAAACUGGGGAACUUGAGUGCAGAAGAGGAGAGUGGAAUUCCACGU
rnacentral:rRNA from 1 species